rnacentral:rRNA from 1 species
AGCGAACGCUGGCGGCAGGCCUAACACAUGCAAGUCGAACGAAGUCUUCGGACUUAGUGGCGGACGGGUGAGUAACACGUGGGAACGUACCUUUUGGUUCGGAACAACUCAGGGAAACUUGAGCUAAUACCGGAUGAGCCCUUAGGGGGAAAGAUUUAUCGCCGAAAGAGCGGCCCGCGUUAGAUUAGCUAGUUGGUGAGGUAAAGGCUCACCAAGGCUACGAUCUAUAGCUGGUCUGAGAGGAUGAUCAGCCACACUGGGACUGAGCCACGGCCCAGACUCCUACGGGAGGAAGCAGUGGGGAAUCUUGCGCAAUGGGCGAAAGCCUGACGCAGCCAUGCCGCGUGAAUGAUGAAGGUCUUAGGAUUGUAAAAUUCUUUUACCAGGGACGAUAAUGACGGUACCUGGAGAAAAAGCCCCGGCUAACUUCGUGCCAGCCGCCGCAGUAAAAC